rnacentral:rRNA from 1 species
UACGGGGGGGCAAGCGUUGUUCGGAAUUACUGGGCGUAAAGGGCUCGUAGGUGGCCAACUAAGUCAGACGUGAAAUCCCUCGGCUUAACCGGGGAACUGCGUCUGAUACUGGAUGGCUUGAGUUCGGGAGAGGGAUGCGGAAUUCCAGGUGUAGCGGUGAAAUGCGUAGAUAUCUGGAGGAACACCGGUGGCGAAGGCGGCAUCCUGGACCGGACACUGACACUGAGGAGCGAAAGCCAGGGGAGACAAACGG